rnacentral:rRNA from 1 species
ACUGCUUAGUGGAGAACCCUCGGGAACUGAGAAUAAUACUCCAUAGGUCUAGGAUGCUGGAAUGCACUUAGACUGAAAAUUCCGGUGCCUAAGGAUGAGUCUGCGGACUAUCAGGUUGUAGUCAGGGUAAAGACCUGACUAGCCUAUGACGGAUACGGGUUGUGAGAGCAAUAACCCGGAGAUGAUAUCUGAGACACGAUAUCAGGCCCUACGGGGCGCAGCAGGCGCGAAAACUUCACAAUGUGCGAAAGCACGAUGAGGGAAUCCCAAGUGCUUGCACGUAAGUGCAAGCUGUUUCUAUGUCUAAAACACAUAGAGAGUAAGGGCUGGGUAAGACGGGUGCCAGCCGCCGCGGUAAUACCUGCAGCUCAAGUGGUGGCCGCUAUUAUUGGGCCUAAAACGUCCGUAGCCGGUUUAAUAAAUGCCUGGGUAAAUUGUAUAGCUUAACUAUACGAAUUCCGGGUAGACUGAUAAACUUGAGACCGGGGGAAGUUAGAGGUACUCCUGGGGUAGAGGUGAAAUUCUGUAAUCCUAGGGGGACCACCGGUGGCGAAGGCGUCUGACUAAAACGGGUCUGACGGUGAGGGACGAAGCCCUGGGGCGCAAACGGGAUUAGAUACCCCGGUAGUCCAGGGUGUAAACGCUGCUUGCUUGAUGUUAGUCGGGCUUCGAGCCCGAUUAGUGUCGGAGAGAAGUUGUUAAGCAAGCUGCCUGGGAAGUACGGCCGCAAGACUGAAACUUAAAGGAAUUGGCGGGGGAGCAC